GAUGAAGAACGUAGCGAAAUGCGAAAAGUAAUGUGAAUUGCAGAAUUCAGUGAAUCAUCGAAUCUUUGAACGCACAUUGCGCCCGUUAGCAUUCUAGCGGGCAUGCCUGUCCGAGCGUCAUUUCAACCCUCAGGGUCCCCGUUCCGGCGGGGAACCUGGUGUUGGGGAUCGGCCCGCCCCGUGCGGCGCCGUCCCCCAAAUUCAGUGGCGGUCUCGCUGCAGCCUCCCCUGCGUAGUAGUUACAACCUCGCAUCGGAGCUCAGCGCGGCCACGCCGUAAAACCCCCGACUUUCUGAACGUUGACCUCGGAUCAGGUAGGAAUACCCGCUGAACUUAAGCAUAUCAAUAAGCGGAGGA
rnacentral:misc_RNA from 1 species